CAUGCUGCUUGAACAAAGACACUAGAGAUGGCGGCAUCAUUUUUUUAUGGACACUGAGAACAAAGUCUCAAUAAUAACUGUAGAGUUACUUUUGCUUCAGAUUCUUCUUCUCCCUUAAUAGAGCUCAUUAUGCAAAGAGAAGUCUCAAAAUGCUUUUAGUUUUGUUUUGUUUUGUUGCAGCAAUAUUUGGCAAGAUUCAAGCUAGCCAUUGUUGUACUUUUAGCUGAACAAUCAGGAAUCCAACGGUUACUGAGCCCCGCUUGUGUGGGUUUCAGAGAUGGAAACCGGUACGAGAAGCUCCCAAAUGCCUGAGGAAGUUUCUGCGCAUGAUCAGACUUCCAAAGGAAGCCGUUUCCUGCAAGGUGGAGGUCUUGCUGCCGUUUCUCCCACGGGCAGAGGGAAGGAGCUGUGCAUCUCCAGGACUCCAGGCCGGGUCUCCCAGCUAUGCUCCUGUGAGUCCAACCCGUGUCCCAGUUCCCCGUGGAAUGUAAUUAUGAGAUCGGGGCUGGUCAGAUUCAGGUUUCCCAAACGAGGCAAGGGGCCUCCCGGUCUCCUCUUGGCAGGGACCUCUGCUUGUCUCUUAUUGAAGUACUCGUGUCCUGUGCUGCUCAGAGCUGCCGUGUGGCCAGACUCGAAUUCUAUCAGCCCUUCUCCACUUACUAGCCGGACACCUCUGUGAAAAGAAAAAUUUCCUCAUAUUCUUCCCAGUUGCCGGGUCGUGCAGUUUAUAUUGGAAAGGCGGAAUAAAUAUUUGAUACCUUCUCUUUGUUUACUAGUUUUCAAAACAAUGAAUUAUUCAUCAGCAUCCCCCGGUGGUAACGGUUAUUAUUUUUUUAGUUUCAUUAAGAGCUCCUGGAGUUAAACAUACCCUGGGUUUCAUCUACGGCAGCUUUUCACUUUGAUGAUCACAUUGUCCCCUCCUGGCCAUGGGAAACCUCCUCAGUCGGCCCCCACGUGUGGGGGGACAGUGUCCCCAGCUCCUCUCGCCCACCUCCAGCCUCAAACCGCUGCUCUCACGAACCCAAUCCUGCAAGCUUUGCCUGGGCACCAGAUUUCCAGACGACACACGUGGACACCGCAGAGUGACGACCUCGCUGCAUCUGGACGUCCCCCAACCAUGACAUUGUAGAGCCGAGGGCGGCAGCGGGGUGAGGAUGAGACGAGAGGUGGACGCAUAAAGUCUGGACAUGGAGACAAGAAAGCACAGCGGGGACUGCAGAGCUGUCCACUCUCCUGGCCCAGGGAGGCCUCCCACGAGUGGGGAAAGGGAGCAGCUCCAGAACCAGCCUCCCACCAGGCUCUGCCUGCCUCUGGCCAGCCCCUGGCCAGCCUCGCCCGCCACCUGCCCAGGUUGCCUGCUGGACCUCUUCCACCAAAAGGAACUGUGGUGGCCCCGUUCUGAGACUCGAGGCCCCUUAAGCAUCUGGGGCAGGAGCAGGCUUCCAUGGCCACCCCCAUGAGGCCAGGGGCAGGUGUCCUGCCGCAAAUCCCAUGCCCCCUGGCCUCCUCAGGCUCCCUAAUGGCAGGAGGUGAUUUUUCCCCGCCUCCUGGGCUCUUGCAGCCUCUGAAGCUCUGGAUACCAGUGAGGUGGCCGUGGGGC